rnacentral:rRNA from 1 species
UACAGAGGGUGCGAGCGUUAAUCGGAAUUACUGGGCGUAAAGCGUGCGUAGACGGCUAUCUAAGUCGGGUGUGAAAGCCCCGGGCUCAACCUGGGAAUUGCAUUCGAGACUGAAUAGCUAGGGUGCGGUAGAGGGAAGCGGAAUUUCCGGUGUAGCGGUGAAAUGCGUAGAUAUCGUGAGGAAGACCAGUUGCGAAGGCGGAUCUCUGGGCAGUUCCUGACACUGAGGCACGAAGGCCAGGGGAGCAAACGGG